rnacentral:rRNA from 1 species
AGAGGGUGCUAGCGUUAAUCGGAUUUACUGGGCGUAAAGCGUGCGUAGGCGGCUUCUUAAGUCGGAUGUGAAAUCCCUGAGCUUAACUUAGGAAUUGCAUUCGAUACUGGGAAGCUAGAGUAUGGGAGAGGAUGGUAGAAUUCCAGGUGUAGCGGUGAAAUGCGUAGAGAUCUGGAGGAAUACCGAUGGCGAAGGCAGCCAUCUGGCCUAAUACUGACGCUGAGGUACGAAAGCAUGGGGAGCAAACAGGAUUAGAUACCCUGGUAGUCCAUGCCCGUAAACGAUGUCUACUAGCCGUUGGGGCCUUUGAGGCUUUAGUGGCGCAGCUAACGCGAUAAGUAGACCGCCUGGGGAGUACGGUCGCAAGACUA